GAUGAACGCUGGCGGCGUGCCUAAUACAUGCAAGUCGAGCGAACAGACGAGGAGCUUGCUCCUCUGACGUUAGCGGCGGACGGGUGAGUAACACGUGUAUAACCUACCUAUAAGACUGGGAUCACUUCGGGAAACCGGAGCUUAUACCGGAUAAUAUAUUGAACCGCAUGGUUCAAUAGUGAAAGACGGUUUUGCUGUAACUUAUAGCUGGAUCCGCGCCGCAUUAGCUAGUUGGUAAGGUAACGGCUUACCAAGGCAACGAUGCGUAGCCGACCUGAGAGGGUGAUCGGCCACACGGGAAGUGAGACAGGGUCCAGACUCCUACGGGAGGCAGCAGUCGGGAAUCUUCGGCAAUGGGCGAAAGCCUGACGGAGCAACGCCGCGUGAGUGAUGAAGGUCUUCGGAUCGUAAAACUCUGUUAUGAGGGAAGAACAAAUGUGUAAGUAACUAUGCACGUCUUGACGGUACCUAAUCAGAAAGCCACGGCUAACUACGUG
rnacentral:rRNA from 1 species